rnacentral:lncRNA from 1 species
CUGUACACGCACUGCUUGGAGCUUAUGAGCCUUUAUAAGGGGACGGGAUUCUUGGCUCGGGGGUCUCCCUAAUCGGAAACUGAUCAUCUGUCUCUCAAGAUGCAUUAAAGCUUUACUGCAGAAGGAUCCGAGUGUUCUGUGUCAUUCUUGCUGGCGAGACGAUCGCGCGGGACAUCUGGUGCCGAAACCCAGGAACUUGUUGACAUCGCCGGCGCCGCGGGAGACCCCUCGGAGGACGGGGCGGAUUCAGAACUGCAGGGAGGGGGCUCCAGACCACAGUCAGUGUAGGACUCCAGGUGCCGCAGAGGCCAUGAAGUGGGAGAUGUGGUUCUGCUCCUGCACUCUGCACCAGGCCUCUUUGACCCUGAACACAUGAGAUAUGACAUCUACUCAGGACCCUACUCAGGACCCUUCCAUGGUAGAGACAGACAUGCCAGAUUCUGACUGCACCCUGUAUCUCCUCCAAAAAAAAUGGAUGGCUGCAGAAAAACUUCCACCUGGAGGCCUGCUUUGGAUGUGACAAAGCCAGUCACAUAGCCUUUCACCUCUACUGCCUAGUCCCCGCCUGGAUUGGACAACAGGAUGCUGAGGGAACUGAUCGUCUCAUCCAGCCAAGACAGUAUAUCUUUCAGGUUCACUCAUCCUGCCUUGGUCAAGGCCAGGCCAUAGAGGGUCCUCCAGAUAAUGCCAGCACCUUCAUUAGCUCCUGAGACUUCACCAUUUGUACCACCUCUACAAGCUCAAAUGGGCACCUACCCAACAACUGAAAUCUGGUUUUAAAGGUCAUACCCCCCUCAUGUCUCCCUUGCCUCUUCUGUACAACCAGGAUACUUCUCCAUUCCAUUCACUCUGGCAGUUGUCACCUCUCCCAUGGCUAGCCCCAUACAUAGGGCCAAUGAUAACAAUCUACUUUUUUCUCCUUGGAACCUGCCUUCUCAGCUCCCUCAAGAAACAGACGCCUGAGGUCUACAGGCUGGCAGUUAACUGAAAACUUCUCCACCCAUACCUCCUGCUGAAUGUGAGCUCACCUACUCCAGACUUUCUCCCUCCCCACAUGGUCCCUUGUCAGCAGGAAGAAGCCAGAUUUAAACCGACGCCCCUAUACCCAAGGAGUCUGGGAUGUUUAGGUGGAAGCCAUACUGGCUUUACAAAGAGGUUGGAAUGGUUGGUAGCCCUGUCCCAAACCCGCCCUCAAAGUGCCAAGGGUGGUGUCCACUCCCUCACUUCAGUCCAGACUCCACCCCUAAAAUCCUAACCCAUCCUUCUAUUGGUGGCUCCACCCCCGGAGAGCAUUAAAAGCCCCCACCUCUGGAUUCACCUUGUGGUUUCUUGUUUUCUGUUCCCCUGGGGCCACCCAGGAAUUCUUUGCUCAGAUUAAACUUUGAUUUAUU